GGAUCUCCUGCCUCUUUAUAAUACGCUCUGAAUGCGUCACCACGGACCUUUCCAGGAAAACCAGGAAAACAGGAGAGAAAAAACCUUCACAAACAUAUACAACGGAACUCAUAUACACCCAUCGGAAACCCAACAGAAAGAAGAAAGAGGCUCGCAAAACGGGGAGGACCUGCACCACCACCUCUGACAAAUGCAGAUGAGAUGGCCCUGAGCCUGAAUGCUAGAAGGCCAAUUGCUGAGGGAAUUCCUGGAGGGACUUCAUCAGAGCCAGUCACUCCAGAAGAUUUAAGUGCCUUCAUAAAAUAGAUUCGCAUUGAAAUAUCUGUCUCUUGGAGCCUCCUGUCCCAACAGAACCCCAGGCAGUUGAUAUAGGGAUGAAGAAACUGCUGCUGCCACAGAGAGGCCUACAGAGGUACUGUAAUGUUAAUUACAGUUGGCCUACAAAGCCAAAAAUGGACCAGCUCCCUCUUACCUCAAAGCCCUCAUCAUUCCUCGCACUGCACCCCGGACCCCUCCGAUCUACCAGCACUGCUCGACUGGUUCCACCAUCUCUCAGG